rnacentral:rRNA from 1 species
UCGAGGAUCUUCGGCAAUGGGCGAAAGCCUGACCGAGCGACGCCGCGUGCGGGAUGAAGGCCUUCGGGUUGUAAACCGCUGUCAGUGGGGAGGAAGGCUCCGUGAAGAACGGGGUUUGACCUAUCCGCAGAGGAAGCAAGGGCUAAGUUCGUGCCAGCAGCCGCGGUAAGACGAACCUUGCAAACGUUAUUCGGAAUCACUGGGCUUAAAGGGUGCGUAGGCUGUGCAGAAAGUUGGGUGUGAAAUACCUCGGCUUAACCGAGGAAUUGCGCCCAAAACUACUGUGCUCGAGGAAGAUAGAGGUGAGCGGAACUUAGGGUGGAGCGGUGAAAUGCGUUGAUAUCCUAAGGAACACCGGUGGCGAAAGCGGCUCACUGGAUCUUAUCUGACGCUGAGGCACGAAAGCCAGGGUAGCAAACGGGAUUAGAUACCCCCGUAGUCC